AACGAACGCUGGCGGCGUGCCUAAUACAUGCAAGUCGAACGCAGUGGGGACGGGUGAGUAACACGUGGGUAACCUCCCAUCAGAGGGGAUAACACUUGGAAACAGGUGCUAAACCGAUACGGGUGUAGGGACCAGCGGUGCAUUAGCUAGUGGGUGGGGUAACGGCUCACCAAGGCCACGAUGCAUAGCCGAUCGGAGAGGGGGAUCGGCCACACUGGGACUGAGACACGGCCCAGACUCCUACGGGAGGCAGCAGUAGGGAAUCUUCGGCAAUGGGCGAAAGGCUGACCGAGCAACGCCGCGUGAGUGAAGAAGGUUUUAGGAUCGUAAAACUCUGUUGUUAGAGAAGCGGUAUCUAACCAGAAAGCAACGGCUAACUACGUGCCAGCAGCCGCGGUAAUUC
rnacentral:rRNA from 1 species